GAUUCCUGUUCAGCGUGAAUCUGUGGGAGAGUAUGAACAGUCAAAUGCGAAUAGGCACAACAAGGAUUCUGCGUAAAAGAGUCUUGUGAUGCUGGUGAACCUGCAAUGCACCCCUUCUCAGAGGAGACUAGGAUUCUUUGUGAGAAGAAACAGACAUCUUGCAGUUUUGCAUCAGAUGUCACGGUGGCUGAAAGAACUCAUCCAUCAGAAGACGCUUGAUAUUCUUUCUUUGAGGGCUGAAGACCAACAAUCUAAAAUAAAAAUCUACAGGCGUGCAUAGAGGUGGGGACUGCAUCAAGGAGAGCACGGUGAGUGUCAGCUGUACCCAAAGGUCUGUGCUGCAACAUAAACAUUUCCAGCCUGCUUCUAGUACAUGUGUAUACAAAUGUAAGUGCUGUAGGCUUAAUUCUGCAAGAUUUUUCAUAGAAUAUUGAA